rnacentral:rRNA from 1 species
GACAGAGGGUGCAAACGUUGUUCGGAAUUACUGGGCGUAAAGCGCGUGUAGGCGGCUCUGCAAGUCGGAUGUGAAAUCCCAUGGCUCAACUAUGGAAGUGCAUUCGAAACUGCAGGGCUAGAGUUCUGGAGAGGAAGGUGGAAUGCUUGGUGUAGAGGUGAAAUUCGUAGAUAUCGAGAGGAACACCGGUGGCGAAGGCGGCCAACUGGACAGAUACUGACGCUGAGACACGAAAGCGUGGGGAGCAAACAGG